UACGGAGGGAGCUAGCGUUGUUCGGAAUUACUGGGCGUAAAGCGCACGUAGGCGGCUUUUUAAGUCAGGGGUGAAAUCCCGGGGCUCAACCCCGGAACUGCCCUUGAAACUGGAGAGCUAGAAUCUUGGAGAGGCGAGUGGAAUUCCGAGUGUAGAGGUGAAAUUCGUAGAUAUUCGGAAGAACACCAGUGGCGAAGGCGACUCGCUGGACAAGUAUUGACGCUG
rnacentral:rRNA from 1 species